rnacentral:rRNA from 1 species
GACGAACGCUGGCGGCGUGCUUAACACAUGCAAGUCGAACGGGUCUGCCCUGUUUUUUGCGGGGUGGGUCAGUGGCGAACGGGGGAGUAACACGUGAGUAACCUGCCCCUCACUUCUGGAUAACCGCUUGAAAGGGUGGCUAAUACGGGGUGUUCUGGCUGUGCCGCAUGGUGUGGCUGGGAAAGAUUCACUUUUGUGGUGUUUUGGUGGGGGAUGGGCUCGCGGCUUAUCAGCUUGUUGGGGGGGUGAUGGCCUGCCACGGCUUUGACGGGUCGCCGGCCUGGGAGGGUGGGCGGUCACACUGGGGCUGAGAGACGGCCCAGACUCCUGCGGGAGGCAGCAGUGGGGGGUAGGGAACAAUGGGCGGAAGCCUGAUGCAGCGCCGUCGCGGGGGGGAUGGAGGCCUUCGGGUUGUGAACCGCUUUCGCCGGUGAAGAAGGUCCUGCUCUUUGUGGUGGGGUUGACGGUAGCCGGGUUAUGAAGCGCCGGCUAACUACGUG